AACGAGCGCUGGCGGCAUGCCUAACACAUGCAAGUCGAACGAGACCUUCGGGUCUAGUGGCGCACGGGUGCGUAACGCGUGGGAAUCUGCCCUUCGGUUGGGAAUAACUGAGAGAAAUUUCAGCUAAUACCUUAUAAUGUCUUCGGACCAAAGAUUUAUCGCCGAGGGAUGAGCCCGCGUAGGAUUAGGUAGUUGGUGGGGUAAUGGCCUACCAAGCCGACGAUCCUUAGCUGGUCUGAGAGGAUGAUCAGCCACACUGGGACUGAGACACGGCCCAGACUCCUACGGGAGGCAGCAGUGGGGAAUAUUGGACAAUGGGCGAAAGCCUGAUCCAGCAAUGCCGCGUGAGUGAUGAAGGCCUUAGGGUUGUAAAGCUCUUUUACCCGGGAUGAUAAUGACAGUACCGGGAGAAUAAGCUCCGGCUAACUCCGUG
rnacentral:rRNA from 1 species